rnacentral:lncRNA from 1 species
CAAAAGGAGCAAAAAGUUGGAGGUAAAUCAUGUGGUAAGUACGCACCUGAAAAUCACUUGAAUUUUAUGACACUAUCUGCUUGGUUUACAACGAACAGUACUGUAAAAAAUAGGGAAUAAGAAAUUAACCAUAUUUGAAUGGGUGGCUGUACAAGAUAGGAAAAUAGGUUAAAUGUGAACAAAAUCAACGUCUUAAACAUUAAGAAUCUCAAGCAAAAUAAUUGUGUGGAUCUUCUUUACGGCAUCCAUGGCUAUAGAAUAAAUUCAAUUGAUCGAGGCUAGCUAGAAUCGCAUGAUUUUACUCGCCCAAAAUAGCAGAUUCCCAUCUAGUUUAUGCUACAGAAAACAAACAAGCAAUUAGUUGAAUGAAAAUCAAAAUUUCAUAUUUACGAGAUUACUCCUGGAUUGCUUGGGAGUUAAACCAAAAAACUAGAUGAGGGCCCAUGUCCACCUUAUGGCAAUUGACAUAAAUCUAACUCAAAAUUGCAGCUUACGUGAAUAUUGACAGGCUGGGAGAGUGUGAGUGUCCGCGAGUGUAAGGUUUCCAAACACCAAGGUACGUAAAGCUAGCAUACCGUACGGAGUCAGCCCACAUUCCCUAGCUGAUGUAGAAACUUUGAGAGAUAGUAGGAGAUAUGGGUCCAACAUUAAAUAGGAGCAUUUCCAACGAAUACAUUUUCCAAACCUGAACGCGAUGUAGAUUGUAUCACUUGUUUUGAUCGACGUAAAAUUGGAGAAUGCCCAGCUAUAUCAUUCUGUCCACUGUGUAUGAAUAGACCAAAAGUAUCAAUAGUUAGGUAGUUAACCAUCCAUCACUGGCCUGAAGCAUAGUGAAAAAAUAUGGGGACCAAACCUGGAAAGUUCAGUCUACUGCAGGUGUAUGUAGUGCUUUCACAGGGUUGACGAAAGCGCUACAAAUGUACCAUGAAUUGGAAAAAGGAAAUGUGAUCCUGCAUCCUGAAUUUCUGGGUAGUUUCUAGCAUGUCUCACAAGUGUUCUGGACUACACUUAGAGAAUGUUCUGAAGCCUUCCCCAUAGACACCCUCAACAACUGCAGUCAAGUGAAAAUCCAUAAUUUGAUGAGGACGAUUCCAGUUUAAGAAAAGUCACAUUUGUGUCCUUUAGCAAUAUCAGGUGACCGAAAGGUUCAAAUUUUGAUCAGUUCAAGGUAUGAUCAGCCCCGAUGGCAGUGUUUCGACUAACUCAACUGACAAAACAUUACACUCCCUAUCAACAAGUAAAGGAUAUUCUGCAUUGAGAUCACCGUUACUUGAGCUUAGAUGAUUUGUGCUUCUUAUUAGGGUGUCACCCUUCCCAGUAUCAUACUAUGCCUUCUUCUCCAACAGAGCAGAUUCACAAUGAUAGGAUGGUCAACCUAAUACCGUAGCAGCAACUUGGUUCUAUUAUAAGUUUAAAUGGGUGAACAUGGUACUUUUCAAUAGCAGGGAUAGUCAAACUCAUUCAAAACAGUGGUGCUCGAAGGAAAAAGAUGGAGGUCAUCCAUAAUAUAGAGAAGAAACAUGGCUAUUUAUUAGAACACAUGCACCAUAUGGGCACUCUAAAGCGAGGAUUCAUUAGACACAAUCUACUCAAUCUAUAUAUACACUGUUAAUGCUAUACUACCUUGGUUGUCAACUAUAUACGCUACUACCUGCACAGUGGGUCGUCGUGGUCGUGCUUGAGCUCAGGCCGGAUACCUUGGUCACCCUAGGAGCAAACCCCUGCCCUUCCUCCUCAAGAAGAGCAGGGCCGAUGGCUAGAUGCACCCCUCCUCCUCCUCCUCGAGCUGGGCAAGGCCGACACCCUCCUGCCGUUGUCGCCAUCUCCACACCAUGUUAAC